CUCCCUAGAUUGCCUUCUAUGCGAGGAUGAAUGUUCACCGCCACCAUUUUGGCCACUUCCCUGUGAAUUUGAAGUUCCUGAAUGUUUAAAACUACCUCCUCCUUCUGGUCCGGUACUGGAGCUUGUUGGAAUGACUGCUACAUCAGAUGAGCUUAUGCCAACUACCAAGUAGAGAAGCAUUCCAAGAGUGCCUGGAAGAUGCUGUUCUCAACCUUGCAGAGCUGGAAUUUUCUUCCCUUACUACCUUCAAUGGAUUUUCUAAUGCCUUAAGGAUGUAUACCAUGAGCGGUCGCCUUGAAGGCUUGGGAUUGAGGCAAGACCUGGCAACAAUGGCCAUGGCCCAGACUUCUUCCAACAAAUCUUCAUCAAUGAUCAAAGAUGGGUCCACAAUUUUUGUUCACAAGUUCCUUGUCAUAAAUGCUGAUGCAUGGUAGCGUCUGUUCUAACCAUUCUUUUAGAUGGGCUUCACUAGAUGCACUCAUGCCCACCUUCCCCGUUACC
rnacentral:misc_RNA from 1 species